rnacentral:rRNA from 1 species
GACGAACGCUGGCGGCGUGCUUAACACAUGCAAGUCGAACGGAAAGGCCCUGCUUUUGUGGGGUGCUCGAGUGGCGAACGGGUGAGUAACACGUGAGUAACCUGCCCUUGACUUUGGGAUAACUUCAGGAAACUGGGGCUAAUACCGGAUAGGAGCUCCUGCUGCAUGGUGGGGGUUGGAAAGUUUCGGCGGUUGGGGAUGGACUCGCGGCUUAUCAGCUUGUUGGUGGGGUAGUGGCUUACCAAGGCUUUGACGGGUAGCCGGCCUGAGAGGGUGACCGGGCACAGUGGGACUGAGAUACGGGCCAGACUCCUACGGGAGGCAGCAGUGGGGAAUAGUGCACAAUGGGCGGAAGCCUGAUGCAGCAACGCCGCGUGCGGGAUGACGGCCUUCGGGUAGUAAACCGCUUUCGCCUGUGACGAAGCGUGAGGGACGGUAAUGGGUAAAGAAGCACCGGCUAACUACGU